GCCACAGGGACCAGAGUACAAAGUUUAACAGAUUUCACGCUCCAUGAGGCUGUUUUUGGAUAGUGCCGGAAUAAGGGAGAAAAUAGUACCGGUACCCAUGGUGUCAAUAGCACCUGAUGAGUUCAUUCUCCCAAAUUAUAUUGGUGGGUUGUCCCCAGUUCGGACCGGUUCGCAAGAACCAGUAGUAAAACUGGAGGGAGGCUCCGCCCACCGACCCCAACGUCAUCAGGAAGCUUCUGCGCACGUUGCGAACUGGUAGUAAAGACGGACGCCUGGUAGGGGGAGCCGCCUGUCGAGCGUCAAGAAGGACUCGACAUCGUGUCCAUGCACCGGCAGAACAUGGAUACCCAGCUGGAAGGGGGGGGUUGAGCCACAUGGGUGAUGGUGGAAUAGGCUUCCGAGUAGGCGUUUAUGUGCACGGGUGCCUUAUGGGGUCGCGUGGGAUUAGCUUACCACUCUGAGAACACUCUAGAAAAAUGACGACAUCCCAGUACGUCCGAAGGAAAUGAGGAAGUACGAGACCUUCCAGCUGAAUGUAAUCUGGAAGGAACUAUAUAAGAACUCGCUUGCAAGGGCGUGACAGCUGCGUCUUUGUUUUGCUAUGAUUUGCAUUCCGGUUUCUGUAAGCGCUGAUUGCCACGAUUAA